UCUCACUGACCAGGGCUGGUUUGGCAGAUUCAGGGCCGAGGAGGGGGCAAUGUGUCUGGUUCUUAUGAGAAAUGUUCAGCUGCAAACUCAUGAGAGCGGAAGUCUCCCUUCCACAGUGCACAUGGCGGCUUCCUGUGCCACCCCCUGCCCAGCUGGCUCUGCUCCACCAGGUUCAGCCGCCCCUUCUACAUUUGUCUGUGUGGAGCAUUAUUCCAAGCUGGAGCAGAAGUCCCAAGCCCUCAGCAUACAGUGACUGGCUUAGCCAUGCAUGUGCCUGGACUCAAAAGGGCAGCCAAGCAGGAUGGGUUUUUAGGUCAAACCCUGAAAUAUAGGAGAUGUCCUGGCAGGAGCGUUCUAUUGCAGUAAACCAAACCACACCUGGGGCAGCAUGGCCCCACACAGGCUACAUUGUCUCUGUUGGCCCCGCACCAACGCAGUGCACUAUUUACUUAUCUGCAAACAUGGGGCAGUAAUCCAACAGAGAACUUUCCUCCAGAUUUCAGAGCAGUCUCUGGUAAUCUUUGCACAGCUAGGUGGCUGGCCUUACUAAUCAGAUCAAGUGUAAUACUAACUUCCAGAUCCCUCAGGGAAAUGCAUAGUGCCUCUCCGGCUCCUUGAACAUGUCCUCCUGUGUUAUCCAGGAGAAUAAUCCAAGUCCUUGCCCUCGCUUGCUCAGAUAGGUCCUAUGAGUGGCACUGGAAUCCCAAGGAACCACUGCUGCAUUGCUGAGCAGGAGGGGGAUCAGGCGUCUGAGAACAUCAGCGGGCUAAAUGCUUCACCAGACCUUGGGGGGAAAUGGAGAACAAAAGGAUCUGACCCUGGAGCUGCAGGGGGAUGUGCAAAGGGGACUCUGCACCUAUGUGCAGCUUCCAGGCAGAAGCCAAGUGGGGGAAGAGGACAGAGACUCUGAAGUAAUACGUCCCUCAUGGCAGAGAAAGGAGGAGGCAGGAGCAAGCAUUCCAAAGGGAAUGAACGCCUGAGAAAGCACAUCCAAAGACACAGGCAAUUAGUGCCAUUAUCCCAUUAGCAGGCCCCUGCAUCUGACGUGUACAUACCACCUCCUCAUACAGUGCUGCGGUACAGGAUGGUGGCAGCUCGUUUUGGUCUGUGCCAUACUGGUCUGUUCCUUCCUGUGCAUUUCCAUGGCAUUCCAUCUCUGCCAACAAACUGGACAGAGUGACUCAGGCUCCCCGGGACAUGCAUUCGUACCCCUGUCGUCCGCAGAAGUGCCUGGUGUGUAGUAUUGUGGUUUUGAUCUAGUUUGUUGUUGCUGCUGGGCUUCCACUUUUGUGUGCUUAAUAAACAUGAUUUGCUCCAUUUA